rnacentral:rRNA from 1 species
AAUCAACGCUGGCGGCGUGCCUAACACAUGCAAGUCGCACGAGAAAGGGGAGCAAUCCCUGAGUAAAGUGGCGCACGGGUGAGUAACACGUGACUAACCUACCCUCGAGUGGGGAAUAACCUAGAGAAACCUGGGCUAAUACCGCAUAACACUUACGAGUCAAAGCAGCAAUGCGCUUGAGGAGGGGGUCGCGGCAGAUUAGCUAGUUGGCGGGGUAAUGGCCCACCAAGGCAAUGAUCUGUAUCCGGCCUGAGAGGGCGCACGGACACACUGGAACUGAAACACGGUCCAGACUCCUACGGGAGGCAGCAGUGGGGAAUUUUGCGCAAUGGGGGAAACCCUGACGCAGCAACGCCGCGUGGAGGAUGAAAUCCCUUGGGAUGUAAACUCCUUUCGAUA